UUUUCGUGAGGGAUAGAAGCGGAAAGCCCACAGCGAAGUGCAACGGAGCGAUGACUUGUAGCGGAUAUCCCGACCCGCU
rnacentral:sRNA from 1 species